GGUUCCAUAGUGUAGUGGUCAGCAAGUGAAGUUGAUGUGCUGGAAACAGGAAAAAUGGGCAAGCUCUGAGCAAACUUGACACACUGGUUCCAUAGUGUAGUGGUUAUCAUAUUGACUUUACAUCCUGGGUUCAAGCCCCAGUGAAACCA